rnacentral:rRNA from 1 species
AUUCCAGUUCCAAUAGCGUAUAUUAAUGUUGUUGCAGUUAAAAAGCUCGUAGUUGGAUUUCUGGUCGGGACGUCUGGCCGGCUCCGCAAGGGGUCGUUGCAUUGACUGUACUCGUCCAUCCUCAGGUUGACUAGCUCUGGUAUUUAUUUAUCGGUGUUAGAACGCCUGUCGUUUACUGUGAACAAAUUAGAGUGUUCAAAGCAAGGUGUACUUGAAUACAUUAGCAUGGAAUAAUAAGAUAGGACUUUGGUGGUUCUUUUUGAUAUUUUGUUGGUUUGCACGCCAAAGUAAUGAUUAAUAGGAGCAGUUGGGGGUAUUCGUAUUCAAUUGUCAGAGGUGAAAUUCUUGGAUUUAUAGAAGACGAACUACUGCGAAAGCAUUUACCAAGGAUGUUUUCAUCA